CCUACGGGUGGCAGCAGUGAGGAAUAUUGGUCAAUGGACGAGAGUCUGAACCAGCCAAGUAGCGUGAAGGAUGACUGCCCUAUGGGUUGUAAACUUCUUUUAUAUGGGAAUAAAAUGUUCCACGUGUGGGAUUUUGUAUGUAACAUAUGAAUAAGGAUCGGCUAACUCCGUGCCAGCAGCCGCGGUAAUACGGAGGAUCCGAGCGGUAUCCGGAUUUAUUGGGUUUAAAGGGAGCGUAGGUGGAUUGUUAAGGCAGUUGUGAAAGUUUGCGGCUCAACCGUAAAAUUGCAGUUGAAACUGGCAGUCUUGAGUACAGUAGAGGUGGGCGGAAUUCGUGGUGUAGCGGUGAAAUGCUUAGAUAUCACGAAGAACUCCGAUUGCGAAGGCAGUUCACUGGACUGCAACUGACACUGAGGCUCGAAAGUGUGGGUAUCAAACAGGAUUAGAUACCCGGGUAGUC
rnacentral:rRNA from 1 species